GCCAGCUUAGUAUCACUGCCAACCUUAACGUCUCUAAUUCCAUGACCUCACUUGCAACUUCCCAGCAUUCCCCAGGAAUCGACAAGGAGAAUGUUGAACUUUCCCCUACCACUGGCCACUGUAAUAGUGGACGAACUCGCCAUGGAUCCGCAAGCCAAGUGCAGAAGCAAAGUGCUGGCAGUUUCAAAUGUAAUAGCAUUAACAAGAUCAUGUGAAGCUUCCUUUCUUUCAGCUUUCAAACCAGCAUAACGUGGGCUCUUCACUAGUGACCCUGCCUGAACUGCGCCCUGUCCCCACGUGUUGCAGCA
rnacentral:lncRNA from 1 species